rnacentral:rRNA from 1 species
UACGAAGGGGGCUAGCGUUGUUCGGAAUUACUGGGCGUAAAGCGCGCGCAGGCGGCCUUUCAAGUCAGGGGUGAAAGCCCGGAGCUCAACUCCGGAAUUGCCUUUGAAACUGUCAGGCUCGAGUACGGGAGAGGUGAGUGGAAUUCCCAGUGUAGAGGUGAAAUUCGUAGAUAUUGGGAAGAACACCGGUGGCGAAGGCGGCUCACUGGCCCGUUUCUGACGCUCAGGCGCGACAGCGUGGGGAGCAAACAGG